rnacentral:rRNA from 1 species
AUACGGAGGGUGCAAGCGUUGUUCGGAAUCACUGGGCGUAAAGGGCGCGCAGGCGGUUUGGUAAGUCAGAUGAGAAAGCCCACGGCUCAACCGUGGAAGUGCAUUUGAAACUGUCAGACUUGAGUACUAGAGGGGAAAGUGGAAUUCCCGGUGUAGAGGUGAAAUUCGUAGAUAUCGGGAGGAAUACCGGUGGCGAAGGCGACUUUCUGGCUAGAUACUGACGCUGAGGCGCGAAAGCGUGGGGAGCAAACAGGAUUAGAAACCCCGGUAGUCC